CCUUCUCAGGAAGGAGGCUCUCAGUUCCCUUCAUACCUGAGCUGGAUGUCCCAAUUCUCCAUAGGAUAACAUCCACAAAAUGGACACAGGAUGAAGUCAGAUGAUCUUUAAUUGGACCAAAUGGCUGGUAUUCCCUGACUGCAGAAUGAACAAGACCAGACCAAGGAUUCUACUAAUCUAGAGCCUUACAGCAGAGAAAGUACAUGAGAUCCCACCAGUACUCCAGGUCAGAAGAAAACAAAAAAUAAUUAGAGACAUUAAAGGGAUACCCCCAUCCCAUUACAGCCAAAGCCUCUGGAAUUGCACUUUGUGAAACAUCACUGCAGAGUGUACUCCUCCAUUUCACAGCAAGGGGGCAGAUGUGCCUGAGUCUCCACUACUGGAUUUCCAAAAAAUCUAAUGCAGGUCUACUGGGGGAGCAUCUUAGAAGGAGGCAACAGUCUGCAAUACCAAGCACAGCUGAGGAAAUACACUGAUACAGCACAUCUCAUGAGAAACUCACAAUCUAUUGUAGGAGUUCUUUUCCACAGUGAAAAACCACAAAGGGAAAACAGGUAUCUGGAGCAUCUUGUCCUGCUAUGAUGAAAUCAC